UAGGGAAUAUUGCACAAUGGGGGAAACCCUGAUGCAGCAACGCCGCGUGAGUGAAGAAGGCCCUUGGGUUGUAAAGCUCUUUAGCUAGGGAAGAGGCUUCGUAUGGCUAAUAUCCAUGCGGGGUGACGGUACCUAGAGAAUAAGCACCGGCUAAUCUCGUGCCAGCAGCCGCGGUAAUACGAGAGGUGCAAGCGUUACUCGGAAUCACUGGGCGUAAAGCGCACGUAGGCGGAUUCGAAAGUCAAUUGUGAAAGCCCUGAGCUCAACUUGGGAACUGCAGUUGAAACUUCGUUUCUUGAAUAUCUGAGAGGGUGGGGGAAUACCUAGUGGAGAAGUGAAAUUCGUAGAGAUUAGGUGGAACACCAGAGGCGAAGGCGCCUGCCUGGCAGUAUAUUGACGC
rnacentral:rRNA from 1 species